AUCAGAUUCCGUAGCGUGGUACAAUGUACAAUCCGUUUCAUUCAUCGGAUCCAAUGAAUGGAAUGGCUGAGUAAAAAAAUGGCAGCCCUACUGUUGCUGCUAUCAGCUUAAUGACAGCCCCAUUCACAAACCCGUGAGGGUUGUGUGCAGCUCUUUGUUGAGACGUUAACACAUUUCUGCACCUUGAGCUCUUUCCGACAACUGGUCCUGGAGGAAGGGACUUGACGCAUGCUCCAAGGG